rnacentral:rRNA from 1 species
UUUGAACGCUGGCGGCAUGCCUUACACAUGCAAGUCGAACGGCAGCACGGGUGCUUGCACCUGGUGGCGAGUGGCGAACGGGUGAGUAAUACAUCGGAACAUGUCCUGUAGUGGGGGAUAGCCCGGCGAAAGCCGGAUUAAUACCGCAUACGAUCUACGGAUGAAAGCGGGGGACCUUCGGGCCUCGCGCUAUAGGGUUGGCCGAUGGCUGAUUAGCUAGUUGGUGGGGUAAAGGCCUACCAAGGCGACGAUCAGUAGCUGGUCUGAGAGGACGACCAGCCACACUGGGACUGAGACACGGCCCAGACUCCUACGGGAGGCAGCAGUGGGGAAUUUUGGACAAUGGGCGAAAGCCUGAUCCAGCAAUGCCGCGUGUGUGAAGAAGGCCUUCGGGUUGUAAAGCACUUUUGUCCGGAAAGAAAUCCUUGGCCCUAAUACGGUCGGGGGAUGACGGUACCGGAAGAAUAAGCACCGGCUAACUACGUG